UCAAACCAUCAUACUAGACAAAGAGGAGUUUACUGGUGAAACAUUGUCCGAAAUUUUAUGAGCCAGAAUAACGAAAACAAGGAAAAUUCAUGUGGGCAUACCCAAUAACACCUCGACCCAAAUUACAUAAUUAUAUGCAUUGCAAAUAUCACAAUGAACCCUUUCCUGCUUGAAUUAAUCGGCAACAACAUGAUUUCUUCCUUACGCGUGUGGAUUUGUAUCUCAUCCUGCCAAAUCAUCAACUCACACCCCAAUGCGACUGGUCAAGCUAGU
rnacentral:lncRNA from 1 species